GGAAACCCUAUGUUGAUUUGAUUCUCACAAAGACCGGUGUCAAGCCCAGCUACAGUAUGUAUUUACCCAAGAAAAUGCGCAGUGAGCUUCCUUCUGCUGGAGCUCGUGCAGUCCCUGCAGUCCUUACUUGUGGUCAAAAGAAGUGGGAUAUGUCUUACGGUGGAGUCAAAUCUGGUCACAAAUUUUGCAUUGAGUGGAGAAAAUUUGUGGAUGAUAAUAAUCUGAAGGAGGGGGAUGGACUUGUGUUUGAACUGGUAGAGUGCAGCGCUAGCAAAAUCGAAUUCAGAGUUCAGAUUCUCAGUGGUGAUUUCCCAGCUGAAUUGAAACCUGAAGAUGAGGAGGGUGCAAACAGUGACAACCCAAUACUACUUGGUUAAAAGUACUAGAUCUUCUAACUGUUGGAACUUGUAGAUUAAUGACAAGUAUAUAGAACCGUAUUUAGUCAGUUUAUUUUUCUUCAAGACAUAUCUGCAGUUCUAUUAACCUAUCUCAGGUUGAUGCAGUCUCAGUUUGCUUUAAAAGAGUCGACUUUCUAGUAUUUGUUUUGUGUAUGUAUUGUCUAAAUUGUG
rnacentral:misc_RNA from 1 species